UCAGGAAAUAUACUAAUGCAGAUCCUGACUCUCUGGAAAGGUGAGCUCUCCUGGGCAUGUAUUUUAUUACUCAAACUAUCUCUGACAUUAGGAGGAAUUUACAUAAGGCAGCAAUAGAGCAUCAAAUCCCCAUGAGCCAACUAUUAAAUAUGGCCUUUGGAAUUUACAAUAAUAGGGACAAGGUGGAGAAAGAGGUGAAAACUAAAAGUAAUAGCCAAAAAGUGCUAUUAUUCAUGGCUGCCUUAAGCCCCCUACUGUUAAUGAGACAAUAGUCCCAGUCCACUGAAUAGUUCCUAAUUCAUACACAAUAUUGACCCAAGUCCCUGAAGAUGUUAAUAGUUCAUGGUAUUAGGCUUAAAGGAUGCUUUCUUUUGUAUACCGUUACACGUGGACUCCCAGUAUAUCUUUGCUUUUGAAUGGACUGAUCCAGACAUUCAUGCUGCAUCUCAUCUUACAUGGGCUGUUCUUCCUCAAGGUUUUAGGGACAGUCCCCAUUUCUUUGUCAAUACAUUGGCAAAAGAAUUAAGGAAACUCUAAUUAAAUAAUGGGUCUCUUUAGCAAUAUAUGGAUGAUCUAUUAAUUUCCAGCCCAACCAGGGAAGGCUGUGACAGGAACACAAUCCAGAUUCUUAAUUUUUUUGAGAAGAUGAGGUUAUUGGGUAUUCCUACAAUAAAGCCCAAAUUUCUGUACAAAAGUUUAAAUAUUUGGAGUAUGUGUUAACUCCUGGGGCAAACACCCUGGCCCAGGAGUAAAAAGAGACCGUCUUGGCACUCCAGCCCCCUCAGACUAAGAAACAAUUAAGAAUCUUUCUGGGAAUGGCCAGAUUCUUCUGGAUUUGGAGUCCCAGGUUUGGGCUCAUAGCAAAACCACUCUAUGAAGCUCUAAAAGGGAGUGAUCAUGAGCCUUUGAAUUGGGAUGGAACCUGCCAACAGGCAUUCUUAACCCUAAAAGAAAAAUUGGGAACAGCCCCUGCUUUGUGACUCCCAAACUUAGAAAAAUCUUUCACCCUAUAUGUGGCUGAAAAACAAGGGACAGCUUUGGGUGUUCUAACUCAAAGUCUCGUGAAUAGCCCUAUACCAGUGGCUUACUUUUCUAAACAGCUAGACCAAGUGGUGGCUGGGUGACCAGGAUGCUUUUGAGCUGUGACCACCACCACUCUAUUGGUAGAAGUCAGUAAGUUUACCUUGGGACAACAAUUAGAUGUAAUGACCUGCCCCAUCAAAUACAGGGGAUCCUAGAAGCAAAAGGACACCAAUGUCUAACAGUGGUUCAAUUACUUAAAUGUCAGGUUCUUCUAUGUGACACUGCAGUUGUUACUUUUAAAAUAUGUUGUUUUAAAUCUUGCUACCCUGUUGCUGGACUUCACGUCCCAGUCCCCAACUCAUUCACUCCUGUGUGGAAACUAUGGAACAGAGCUCCUCUAGCAGGCCUGACCUUAAAGAUGAGUCCCUGCCUAACCCCAAUGUUGAGUGGUUUAGAGAUGGAAGUAGCUUUAUUCAUGAGGGAUUAAAAAGGCAAGUUAUGCUGUGGCUAGUCAACAAUAAGUCAUUGAGGCCAAAGCUCUUCCUCCCCAGACUUCUGCUCAAAAAGUGGAAUUGAAUGCUCUAAUUAGGGCCCUCCAACUGGGAAAAGACUUAAGAAUCAAUAUAUUUACUGAUCCAAACAUGGGUUCCUGGUGCUCCAUGCUCACAAGCCAUAUGGAAGAAAAGGGGACUGUUAACAGCCAUAGGAUUCCCCCAUACAACAUCACUCUGAGAUCUUGGAACUUUUAGAUGCUGUCCAACUCCCAAAGGAGAUAACAAUUAUUCACUGCUGAGGACACCAAAAGGGAGACACCUCUAUUAUCAGAGGAAAUGCCCUGGUGGAUAGAGCAGUCAUGGCCACCGCUAAAGGAAGAUCAGUACUGCUGGCUGCUGCACUAAUACCUGAUGCUCCACCCAUGUCAACAGUGCCAUAUUAUACACCUUAGCAAAUUAAAUGGGCAGAACAGAAAGGCUUACAAAAGGAUCCUUCAGAGUGAUUUCUAGAAAUCAAUAAACUCUUUCUCCCUGAGGCUGAGCAAUGGAAAAUAAUUAAGCAUUUCCAUGAUUCCUCACAUUUAGGAUGGGAUUCUGUAUUCAAAUUCGUUUCCCUAAUAUUCUUGGGAAAGGGACUAUUCCAGACUAUAAAAAGGGUCACCAAGACCUGUGAACUGUGUGCUCAUAAUGACCCAGGAAGCCACCCCAUACCCCAAUCCCUACUCAAACCUGUACAACACCAAGGAACAUACCCUAGGCAAGACUGCAAAUAGAUUUCACCCAGAUGCCACCUUACAGGGACUAAAAUAUUUUCUACUAUUUAUGGACACUUUCACUGGGUGGGUAGAAGCUUUCCCUACAAAGACAGAAAAAGCAUUGGAAGUGUCCAAAUUCUUAAAGAAAACAUCCCCAGGUUUGCAUUACCAAAAAGUUUGCCAAGUAAUAACUGACCUUCGUUUACAGCUAAGGUGACUGAGCAUGUUCCCUCAGCCUUAGGCAUUAUCUAUCAUCUUCACUCCUUCUGGUGGCUUCAAUCUUUAGGUAAGGUAGAAAAAAGCAAACCAUGUUCUAAAAAGGACAUUAGCAAAACUGCGUCAGUAGACCUCAGAGGCCUGGGCUUCUCUUCUACCAUAGCCCCUUUGUACAUAACGAUGGCUCCAAAGGGAACCAUAAAACUUAGUCCAUUUGAAAUGACCUAUGGGAGGCUUUUUUUUUUCCUUCAGGCCUCCUGCUUAAUGAAGAGACACAUAGAAUGCUCACAUGUAUUAUCAACUUAGGCCAGGUUCAAAAGGCCCUUCAAGAAUACGGAAAUGAAGUGUUGCCUCCUCCCACAAGGAAAAGAAUUAACUCCAUUAACUCCUUCAUUCAACGAAGAGACUUAAUCUUACUAAAAACUUGGAAAGAAGGAUCCCCUGAGGAACAAUUACAACCCAAAUGGAAGGGUCCUUAUCAGGUGUUAAGUACCCUUAUUGAUAUAGUUUGGAUAUUUGUCCCCAUAGCAAUGCAAGAAUGGCCUAAUAUACCCACUGUGGGUGGCGAGCCACCCAGGUGCCAAGGCAAGAGACCGAGGGCACAAGCUGUUCCAGUAUAAUAAAGAAAAUAUAUAGAAUAAGAAUAGUUAUACUAGAAAUAGAUUAUAGAUAUGAUUAUAUAUGAAUAUUAUUAAUCAUUAGUUUGUAGCAUACUCUUUAUUCCAAUAUUGUAAUAAUCUUUGUUCUACAAUUAUAACCUAGGAAAAACCAGGGCAUACAGAGAUAGGAGCUGAAGGGACACAGUGAGAAGUGACCAGAAGACAAGUGUGAACCCUCUGUUAUGCCUGGACAGGGCCACUAGAGGGUUCCUUGGUCUAGCGGUAGUGCCAGUGCCUGGGAAGGCACCCGUUACUUAGCAGACUGGGAAAGGGAGUCUCCCUUUCCCCUGGGGGAGUUAGAGAAGCCUCUGUUCCACCACCUCUUGUGGAAGGCCUGAUAUCAGUCAGGCCCGACCGCAGCCAUCCAGAGGCCUAACCAUCUCCCUGUGAUGCUGUGCUUCAGUGGUCAUGCUCCUGGUCCACUUUCAUGUUCCACCCUGUACACCUGGCUCUGCCUUCUAGAUAGCAGUAGCAGAAUUAGUGAAAGUACUAAAGUCUUUGAAAUGCAUAGAAGAAAUAAUGACGUAAGCUGUCCCCUCUCUCUCUCUCCACCACGGCUACCAAACAGGGAAGGGCCCCCUGUCUGGUGGACACGUGACUUGCAUGACCUUACCUAUAAUUGGAGAUGGCUUACACUCCUUAUGCUGCCCCCUUGCCUUGUAUCCAAUAAAUAACAGUGCAGCCAGGCAUUCGGGGGCCACUACCGGUCUCCGUGUCUUGGUGGUAGUGGUCCCCUGGGCCCAGCUGUCUUUUCUUCUAUCUCUUUGUCUUGUGUCUUUAUUUCUAUGAUCCCUCGUCUCUGCAUAUGAGGAGAAAAACCCACAGGCCUUGUAGGGCUGGACCCUACAACCCACUGCUGUGAAACUUCAGGACAUCACUAGCUGAGUACACCUAUCCAGGAUGAAACCCAUUUCUUAUGAGUCCCCACAAGUGCAAAAGAAGAACACCAUGACCUAUACCUGUGAAUCUUUGGAGUACCUCCACUACCUAUUUAAAAGAAUCAACACUCAGCCAGAAGUGGUAAUGCGAUGCUGUGAGUGGGAAUAGGAACAUUAAUUUUUCUCUUCUUCCUGAUUGUAUGCUUCUUUUCUAUUGCUUUGGCCACUUGCCUCCUCCUGGGAAAUACCUCUUUCGUCCUUGUUGGGUGUAGAGGCCACUCCAAGGUCCAACCAGACACCAUGCUGCCACUGUUAAUCCUGUUUGCCAUCCUGAUUAACCUAAUCCAGUGUGGUGGGAAUAAAACUCUACGGUAAAUAUUUCAAAAAUCAUAGCAUCAAGGAAUCAUCUUCAUGAUUGCUGCAUUUGUCAUCAACAUCCCCAGGAUAAAGAGUUCCACUUUCUGACACAUCUGGAAAACCUCAUGGCCAUCUCCCUGGACCUCCUAAUUAACCAUAGUGAUCCCUUAGUACCCAGAUCCUUACUUGUUAGGUGGAACUCUUUCCCACUUAAUGGAUUUGACCUAACUGCCCCUGCCACUAUUACCUGGACCUGGGAGAUUGGGUACCUGUACUUCAGGUGUCCUAAUGACACUAUGUUUUGCACUCAUUGUGUUAAUGACACAAAAGUGGAAACUUUCCUGACAUGCUCUGAUCCAAUCCUAGUUGCCAAAUUCCUGAGGUCACAGACAGGUAAAUGGGAUCCCACUUGUAAGUGAGAAAACAACACAUGGUGCUUCCUCCUCGAUCAGAACAUGCAAGGGAAAAAUAACUGUCUAAUCUAGGAAGGUAGGAGUACUGGCUUCUUCUGGAAAACAAGGGAUGUUUGACUACCCCCAUUGGAGCAAGGGAAAUAUAUCUAUAGACACGACUGGGUAACAAAGGAUAGACAUCACAUCUCAUAGGACUUCUAUUUGUGCCCCAACUGGGCUUAUUUUUGUCUGUGGCCA
rnacentral:lncRNA from 1 species